AGCCCUAUCACAUUGAAACACCGGUUCUUGUACUAUCACUGAAGUUAAGCAAUGUCAAGCCUGGUCAGUACCUAGAUGGGUAACCACUUGGGAAUACCAGGUGUUAUA